GUGAAAUGAAAUCAACGUUUGGACAUGCGAUUUCACGCUGAUUUCGUCUCGUGA
rnacentral:pre_miRNA from 1 species